GAUCCUAGCUGACCUACGACACGGUGUGAGUAGGUUACAUGCGGUGCAGUAUGGCAGUGGAAAAUGCUGCAUCCCGUGUGACCUCCUUACACAGUGCCAUGUCUCUCCGUCUGGACG
rnacentral:precursor_RNA from 13 species